rnacentral:tRNA from 1 species
ACUUAAAUAGCUUAUUUAGAGCAUGACACUGAAGAUGUUAUUGAGAUAAUUUAUUUAUCUUUGAGUA